rnacentral:rRNA from 1 species
ACGCUCGACACCUACGGGAGGUAGCAGUGGGGAAUAUUGCACAAUGGGGGAAACCCUGAUGCAGCGACGCCGCGUGGAGGAAGAAGGUCUUCGGAUUGUAAACUCCUGUUGUUGGGGAAAAAGAGGAUGGUACCCAACAAGGAAGUGACGGCUAACUACGUGCCAACAGCCGCGGUAAUCUGAGCGGGCUGGCAAGGC